GAUGAACGCUAGCGGCAGGCCUAAUACAUGCAAGUCGAACGGGAUCCAGAUCAAAGCUUGCUUUGGUCUGGUGAGAGUGGCGCACGGGUGUGUAACGCGUGAGCAACCUACCCUUGUCAGGGGGAUAGCCCGGCGAAAGUCGGAUUAAUACCGCAUGACAUCAUUGAGAGGCAUCUUUCGAUGAUCAAAGAUUUAUCGGACAAGGAUGGGCUCGCGUGACAUUAGCUAGUUGGUAAGGUAACGGCUUACCAAGGCUGCGAUGUCUAGGGGCUCUGAGAGGAGAAUCCCCCACACUGGUACUGAGACACGGACCAGACUCCUACGGGAGGCAGCAGUAAGGAAUAUUGGUCAAUGGACGGAAGUCUGAACCAGCCAUGCCGCGUGCAGGAGGACGGCCCUAUGGGUUGUAAACUGCUUUUAUACGGGAACAAACGUCGGUACGUGUACCGGUCUGAGUGUACCGUAAGAAUAAGGAUCGGCUAACUCCGUG
rnacentral:rRNA from 1 species